ACGUAGGGUGCAAGCGUUAAUCGGAAUUACUGGGCGUAAAGGGUGCGUAGGCGGUUGUUUAAGUCUGCCGUGAAAUCCCCGGGCUCAACCUGGGAAUGGCGGUGGAUACUGGGCAGCUAGAGUGUGUCAGAGGAUGGUGGAAUUCCACGUGUAGCGGUGAAAUGCGUAGAGAUGUGGAGGAACACCGAUGGCGAAGGCAGCCUUCUGGGCCAACACUGACGCUCAUGCACGAAAGCGUGGGGAGCAAACAGGA
rnacentral:rRNA from 1 species